rnacentral:sRNA from 7 species
UAUUCUGCCCUACAGGGAAGGAUGAGAAGCUUCGACUAAGGUUCGACUCGAGCGAAGCGAGAGAACGUUGCCGCAGGCAACGGCCCGAAGGGCGAGGCGCUUUAGCGCCGAGUAAUCCUUCCCCCACCACCA